CUGGCACAGCGUCCUUCUCCUUGUAGGUACCGAAUGCACUUCUUUUUCCUCCUGGAACAGCGGAGACAGGCCUCUGACAGUACCCAUCGGGGGCAGUUCUCCUCUCCCAGCUCUGCUCUUCUAAGAAGAAAUCUGCUGGGAGCAGGAAGGUCCUGAAGGCAGCAGCACCUGAGAGCAGGGACCAGCCUCCCUUCAUUCCUCCUGGAAGAAAUGUUCAGGUUCCCUACUUGUUUGGAUGUUAUGAUUUGGGGGUCUCAAAAAUGCAAGUCACACAUCAUUCUUGCUGUAGCUGGGUUUGGCCAUGAUUCCUUCACAUCCUGUGACAAUUCUGUUCAGUAUUUAUCCCAAGUUCCAGGUGUCACCUUGUACUUCCAGAUUAUUUUAACUACCCCCUGGCUGUCCAGAGUCAGUCCCUACCCUAUCUUGUCUUCGCUCUUUGCUGAGCUGGUUUUCCUUCUCUCCAUGUGACAGAUCCCUUAUGUCACCUGCUUUGGGUCCUUGAGCACCUCAGUAUAGAUCCUCACACAAAAGAGCUUUCAAGAUGUCACCUUAAUAGUAUCGAGGGGAUAAUUCCUCUGCUGGAGACUUUACAGCUAAAACAGGUAAAAGAACAUCGCCCACCUGGCUGUCUCAUUUGAGGAAAACUGAUCAAAUGGAGAACUUGCUAAUGUGGGCACACACCUUUCUUUGAUCUUCCUAAUGAAAAACCAGACCCUGUGAGAAUGUGUAUUAACUAGUCCAGUAUUAAACAUGACUUGCACUGGAAGUGAACAAGAGCAGUGCUAUUCCUGCUGUCAGUGCCAUCACUAGCCGUGGUGACCCAAUUAAUGUGAUAGGAAACACAACAGCUCAGCUGAACCAAGUAUUCAACUUGAGGGUAUUUUCCAUGGGCAGUAAUCCCCCAGAGACAAGCCUGAGGAGGAGCUUGUGUUUCCCACAGACAUCUUGGGAGUAGCUGCAGCAUAGAGUUUCAAUGACCUGUUUAAGAUUACAAGAAUGUGUCCAUUGAUUCAUUCGAUUUAAAGAAACAGGGAAAAAAGCAGAUGUGAUACUACAGACUGCUGAUAAUGGCCCAGUCCAUGGGCUAUGCUGAGGUGGGUGUUACACAGCUAAAGGAACUGUUCCCUCUCUCUUUGGGAACUGCAGCACCCUGGAGUGUUUGUCCAGGGUAUGAGGGAGGAGUGUGAAAGCUCUAGAGCAGGAACACUUAGUCUUAACCAGUUAACCUCUCCUGUGGAGUGGAAAUCCUCCUGUGGAAGUUGUUCUCCACAGGUAAACACAGCACAUAGGACAGGAGCCCCUGAGUGGCAGCAGCGCGUUAGUACGGGAAUUGCAGAGCAGCUCUGGCUGACCAGGGCUUGGUUACACAGGGUACACGAGAAGAGCAUGCCAAGGUGUCCGGGCACUCCAGCAGCCUGUGUUAAUUGGGAAGUGGUGCAGAGGAGAAGCUGAGUUCAGAGCUGGAAUGGAGGCAGAGGGAAGGUGGAAGAAGUGCCCAUGGAAGAAUGGGGCACUCAGCCUGGCGGCACAGCUGCAGGGGGCAUGGGGGGUUCCAGCAACCCCCUCUGGACAUUCAAGUAUUUAUGAGACACUAAGGGAGCUGUGUCCAGAUUCUUAAUCAAUUAAAAAAUGGUGCUUGAUGACACUACCCAGGGAAUAAAAGGAGAGCAGGGAGCUCUGCUGCUGUGGCACAUUGACGUGCAGGAGGUGAGCUCAUGUCGGACUCAGGCCCAGUGACUGGAGCUUGGGGUGCAGCAAGGUCUGGGCCAGAUUUGGGCCGACUAAAUGAUUUUAGACACUUCAAGCUGAAGUGAGCACAUCAAGCAGUAUUUCCACCUUUUUCCUCAAUGCGUUGGUGCAAAACUGCAAAUUGCAGACCUCUGUCCAAGCUGGAGUCUCUCUGUGCUCUGGCACCGAGAUCCAGAAGCUCCCAGGAGCUUUUUCUGCCUGGCUGCCUUUGCAGGCCCUCUGAGCCAGACAACACUUGGUUGAUGCACCAAACUUUACUAUUGCCUGGCCAAAUCCAUCUCUGGAAGCCUGAAGGGCACAGCACUGCUCUGUUUUGCUGCUUGAGGCUGUCCCACCCCACCCAUGGUGGAUACUGCAAAAUUUAAGGCUCAGGAAGAGCUGGAUCUUGAAAUACAUGGUUAGCCCAGUAUAAAUAGGACAAAGAAACCCAUUAAAUCCUCACUGCUGGCCCUAGGGUGCCACUAAUGGGAUUGGAAAACACUAAUGGAGGAAAAAAAGCCUCAUGUCAGGGUCACAGAGGCCUCCAUCCUAGAAAUAAGCUUUUAAGACCAGGGCAGUCUAUCAGCUGAGGAAUACGUCCAGCACUAAACCAACACUGCCCCAGAAGGGAUAAGAAGCCCAGACUACAGCCUGUCCCUUGCAGCUCAGAAAACUCCUGAGGAUGCCCAGAGCACAGCCCAUCCCUGCCUGGACAGAGCAGCCCCCACUGGCAUUGGGAUGGCUGCGGGAGGACACUUGGAGCUGAACCCACUCUCCCAGGAACACCCAGCAGCGAGGAGAUGCCGAUACACACCUGCACGGGCCGCACCAGUCCGUUUGUUGGUUGAGACCAAAGCGAGCUCUGCAUUUCUUAGGAGAGGCAGGAUCUGAACACAGAAGCAUGCGCGGCGGAGAAUGGGCAAGGCAGAGGCACAAAGAGGAGGAGGAGCACGAGGAAGAAAAGAGGCAACAUCAUUUUAGCCACUUUAACACACAACUAACAGACUAAAAUCCCAUUAUUUUCUGCUACAGAAUGGCACUGGCACCACCUGGAAGAAAGUGAUCGUUAGGCAAAUAUCAGUGAUCACUGCUGACAGCUGGAGGUGGUUUGGGAAACAGCUUUGAGAAACGUGGGCAAUUACGGGGAAAUUCACAGCUCUUCAAAUUUCUUAAGUCUGGAAAAGCUGCCAAAUCCCAGAGGCAAUGCCUGACUCCUGUGUCUGCAUCCUUACCUGCUCCCUCCCUUUCCAGCAGCGACUACGUGCGCUGCCAGCGAGCUCGGACUGUGCACGGAGAAAAGAGGAGGAAACGUUGCAGAAGCAGGCUGAAAGCAGAGUUAGCACCAAGGAGACCCAGGCCCAGGGUAUUCCACCCUGCCCCCCAUCAUAACCCUUCCAGUUUUAAUGGAAAAGCUGUUCUCCACAGCCUUUCCUAAAACGUUGCUGUUUUACUGUAUAAUUACAAGACUCAUUAGGGUGAAGCCCUGUUUGCUUUCAGGCACAUCAUGUUUUUUUCUAGUGUUGUAAGUGAGAUUUGAACAGCACAUUUCUGUGCUGGAUUCAGCCUCCCUCUUUCAACCACCAUCAAUGUCUCGUGUACAACCAGUGGUUGGUUUUAAAUCUGUAACAGUCAAAAUUAUCAUUUUUGUAUUAUACAGACAAAACAUAUAUAUGCAUAUAUAAAAAUACAUAAUGCACUCUACAUAAAGGCCUAAAAGCUUGUAUUCUUCUUAUCAGACUCAGCAAUGAAUGAGAUCAACAGUGCUAAUUAAACUGUAGGUAUUACUGGGACACAUCUCUUGAUAAUGAUUCCCUUUAUAAUGAAUAUUUAUUGGUAGAGUUAAUAUUUAUUCCUGAUAUGGCAGAAAUACUUCAGAAAUCAGCACAUGAAGAGCCUUGGAUGAUGGGAAUGUGUCUGUGACCAGCUGAAAUCUGUUGAAAGGGCCUUUUCUAAUCAGCAGGGUGGUACAGGGAGGCAGCUGGUACUGGGGUUUAGUAUGACUUUGCUUCAACUCCACAUUACUUUGACAUAACAACCAAACUUGGGUAGUCCCAUGAAUGAUCUUCAGUCCUGCCACUGCAUUUCAUCCCACACACAGCAUGGAUGCAUUUGAGAGGAGUUUUCUUUAGUUAAUAACAUCUGUAGGUCUGAUGGGGACAUUCACCCUGGAUAUUUUCAAUAGAUUAAGGCUAGUGAUAGUUCAUAUGAAGUUAUUAUACACCUGCCAAAAUCUGAUCUUUUCAGUUUCCACACACUACCCAUGUUCUAAAUCAAACAUGUCUAUUAAAAAGUCACAGAAAGGUUAAUUUACCAUGUCUUAAAGAAAUAACGAAUGUGUAUUUCUCUAGUUAAGCUCAGGAGAAUAACAGAAAACAUGGUGAAACACAACAACUGCUUCGGAUUCUCCCAUCUGAGCAGGAAAGCUGAGACAGCUGCCAGGCCGCACGCACUUACCUGAGUUGGAAUCUUGCUGCUUUUCCCGUGUUCGUCUCUUCUUUUUCCCCUAGGAAAUCAAAGGAAAGGCCGUUACCUGUGCUCCAGAAAACUGAGGGUGCUGUGCAGGGUUUUUGGGACUGGACUGGGUGCUGGGGAUGGCUGCUGCCUCCCAGAUGACCAGAUCUGGUAAGAGUCACGGUGCUGCUGGCUUAGCCCAUUCCAGGAAGAGAUGAACUGAAUAAGGCUGCAAAAGGGACUACUCAGGUUUAUCUAUGAGGAUGUCCCCUUCCUUUCUCCUCUUCCCACUCCAAUGCUCCUAAGAAAAAACUCAGGAGGAACUCUCAAAGUGAAACCCAUGUGUGCUUUUGUGCACUUGCUAUGGCUUCUGCACAGCACACAUUCGUUCUGGGCUGGUGCCUUUUCUCAGGGAUUACCCCUCAUUUCCAUUACCCCCGGAUCCAGCACCACAGGGCACUUUGGCUCAGCACUUUGCAUGAGAUCUGUGCAUAUUUAGAAACUGCAAUAAACUCAAGAGGCGAUGGCAGCCAUGUCCCCACUCCUACCCCCAUGUCUGCUCCAUGCUCUGGUUUAUGAGUCCAGGACCAUGCUGCAAAUGCAGCUAAGACCCAGAUUUAUGCUGCAGGCUGUGUCAGAAGGUGUGAGAGAAAAUGCUAGUGGAUGUACAUCAGCUGUAAAAAAGCCAGUGCCUGUGCCUGCGCUGCUCAGCACCUCUGCCAACUCCUGCCAGAACUCCUUAGCCCACUCUGAUGCACCUCACCUGGGGAUCCCACCCAUUACUGCUUUAAUUAAUGAAUUGAUAAUUUAAUUAAUAAGUUUAUUGAGAUUAAUAUAAUUAAACAAGAUUUGCUGCAUGCAAUGGAGAGAGUAUGAUCAAUAGCUGAUGCUCCUGUUAUAUUCUUAUUCCUCCUCCUCACAUUUCUAAGAAGCACUUGGUCCAUUUUAGAACCUUCCCUAUUUCCAAAACAUGCUUUAAUGUGGUACCUUAUACCCAAAUAGAAGUUGGUCCUUGAUAUUCCCUGAUUUCAAAUGGGAAAUAAAGCUUUAGGAAAUCCCCAGAAAUUUAUUUUUAAAUAAUACUAAUAUAUUUCAAUGCUUUUGCAGUUCUGAACCCAUCUCUCAUUCUUCUUUCACUAAUAAAAAAGUCCUAUUUUAUCCCCAAACUGCCUCUGUGAUUCACAAGAUGCUCAUCCCCUAAUGAGCUGAUUAAUGAGGGCACAGCAGUGCAGGAGCAAAUCUGGCUGUGUGGAGCAGGCAGCUCCCAGGGCUGCCUUUUGACCUGUGACUUCUUAUAUGACUUUUUGUGGUUUGAGUGAAGGUGGAAAGCUCUGAGCUGUGGUAAGCUUUUUCUUCAGUGGGGGAGCAACUGUAUUUCCUGCCUGAUAUCCGCAUCACAUGCUUCAGAAGUGACCUACAUUCCUCCUCCUCAUCCUCCUCCUCCUCCCUGCUCAGCUCCAGAGAGAAAAGCAUCUCUUCCAACAACCAGAACACCCAAACCAGCUGGUUUACAGUGCUGGGAGGACCAAUAUGCACCUUUGGAGCCCACCAUCUAUCUUCUGGAACAAGGAACCAGCCCUUGGCUCCCCAAGGAACCAGAUGAAGAUGCUACAGGACUUGGAUUUCCAUGGAGGAUGUGCUUGGUCUUGGAGGAAGAUGGUGUCAUGUUCUCAGCAGUGCUGCUGCCCUCCAGAUGUUAAUGCCCUCCAGAUAUGUGCCCAUCAAAAUGUGGGGGCUUCCCAUCACCUCUGCUUUUUCUGCAUCAUCUCUGCCCUCUGUGUGUGGGGGGACUUUGGGGUGGUUUGGGUCUGUUUAUAGGUGUUUUCUUGCCCCUGGUGGAGUUUAGUCACUCUGGAAGGAGGGCUGGAGUCAGUGUGGGAUGGAUGGGCACUCACUGUGCAGCUCCCAGGGUUAAGAAAGUGUCUGUGAGGGAAAUGAUAGAGAUUAAGAUCAAAAGGACAGAGCCCAUGAGAGAUAUCUGAAGACUUAGGUGUCCUUUGCUUUAGUUCUCUAAUGAGCUUGUUAGGCAUGUAAUAGCAAAACAGUCAUGAAAGUCACAAGAAAAGACUCCCUACAAAAAGAGCCACUAUUUUAAAUCACAGCAUCAUAUAAUGAUUUGGGUUGAAAGGGACCUUAAACACAUCCUGUUCCAAGCCCCUGACAUGAGCAGGGACACCUUCCACCAGACCAGGUUGCUCCAAGCCCCAUCCAACCUGGCCUUGAACACUUCCAGGGAUGUGGCAUCCACAACUUCCCUGGGCAACCCAUGCCAGGGCCUCCUCACCCUCACAGAUACCUCACCUGCUGUCCAAGAGGCACAAAGCAGUUUGUUUCCAUAAAAUUGUAUUUCCAAGGAUAAAAUUAUAUUUCCACAGCACUUAAAA